CCUACGGGGGGCUGCAGUGGGGAAUAUUGGACAAUGGGGGGAACCCUGAUCCAGCCAUGCCGCGUGUGUGAAGAAGGCCCUCGCGUUGUAAAGCACUUUCAGUGAGGAAGAACGCCUGGUGGUUAAUACCCAUCAGGAAAGACAUCACUCACAGAAGAAGCACCGGCUAACUCCGUGCCAGCAGCCGCGGUAAUACGGAGGGUGCGAGCGUUAAUCGGAAUUACUGGGCGUAAAGCGCGCGUAGGUGGCUUGAUAAGCCGGUUGUGAAAGCCCCGGGCUCAACCCGGGAACGGCAUCCGGAACUGUCAAGCUAGAGUGCAGGAGAGGAAGGUAGAAUUCCCGGUGUAGCGGUUAAAUGCGUAGAGAUCGGGAGGAAUACCAGUGGCGAAGGCGGCCUUCUGGACUGACACUGACACUGAGGUGCGAAAUCGUGGGUAGCAAACAGGAUUAGAUACCCCAGUAGUC
rnacentral:rRNA from 1 species